rnacentral:rRNA from 1 species
AGUGAACGCUGGCGGUAGGCCUAACACAUGCAAGUCGAACGGCAGCACAGUAAGAGCUUGCUCUUACGGGUGGCGAGUGGCGGACGGGUGAGGAAUACAUCGGAAUCUACUUUUUCGUGGGGGAUAACGUAGGGAAACUUACGCUAAUACCGCAUACGACCUACGGUUGAAAGCAGGGGAUCUUCGGACCUUGCGCGAUUGAAUGAGCCGAUGUCGGAUUAGCUAGUUGGCGGGGUAAAGGCCCACCAAGGCGACGAUCCGUAGCUGGUCUGAGAGGAUGAUAAGCCACACUGGAACUGAGACACGGUCCAGACUCCUACGGGAGGCAGCAGUGGGGAAUAUUGGACAGUGGGCGCAAGCCUGAUACAGCCAGACCGCGUGGGUGAAGAAGGCCUUCGGGUUGUAAAGCCCUUUUGUUGGGAAAGAAAAGCAGCAGGUUAAUACCCCGCUGUUCUGACGGUACCCAAAGAAUAAGCACCGGCUAACUUCGUG